GCAGCGCCGCCGUUCGGUCGCCGAAACUAAACGUAGCUACGUCACGCGUGCGCCGGCCGCGCCAUCUAGCGGCCCGUGGCCUCGCCGCAUCGCCUCACCUGCUUCGCGCGACAUUUCUCCGUCGCGCUCGCACCAGUGGCACGUAGAACUAACCUCAAAACUCUCGCGUACCAAACCAAUCACCAAAAUAUUGUCCCUCGCAGUAUUAAUAACAGUGACUACAAUCUGUAAUACGGCUAACAGUGUUAUGAAUGUGACGUAAUCCUGUCACGCUCCUGGAUUUGCCCUGCAGUGUUGCUUCACAGUGGUUUUGAUAAAAUCGAAAGUUUACAGGACAAAUGUUCCUUUUGGUGGGCUGUCAUCGGGCAGCCCCCAAAUUUGGUGCCAUAAUGUGGUGGUUAUUAUUUUUAUGUGUUGUAAACGUUAAAACAUUCGGUGUGUUAGCAUCGAAUAGCAGUGGGACUGUAUCGGAAUCAAUAUGUUCGUUGAAGCAGUUCCAGUGUACCAACGGCAAGUGCAUACCCAGCAUGUGGGUCUGCGAUUUGGAAAAAGACUGCGAAGACAACUCCGAUGAAGAAAUUGAAGAAUGUAAAAAAGAGAGCCGCACUUGCACGCAGUCAGAGUUCCGUUGCAAGACAGGAAGAUGUAUUCCGUUGUCCUGGCACUGCGACAAUGAAAAAGACUGCCCUGAUGGUUCAGACGAGGAGCCCGGCACUUGCAAGGUGAAGUCGUGCGGGCCAGAAGAAUUCACUUGCAGAGGAAGAGACGGCGAAUGUGUCCCACUCACUUGGAUGUGUGAUGACAAUGCGGACUGCUCUGAUGGAUCAGAUGAAAAAGCAUGCAAUGAGACAUGUCGUUCGGACGAGUUUACUUGCGGCAAUGGCAAAUGCAUCCAGCUGAGAUGGGUGUGUGAUGGAGACGAUGACUGCGGCGAUGACAGCGACGAAGUCAAAUGUCCAGCACCUACCUGCCACCCUCAAACACACUUCUCCUGUGGAAACGGACACUGCAUCUCAGCAUGGUGGCGCUGUGACGGUACUGAAGACUGUCCCGAUGGAACUGAUGAAGUGGGUUGCACGGCGACUCCCAAAGUACGAUCACCAUGCAUAUCAUCAGAAUUUGAAUGCAAAGAUCGCAUGACCUGCGUCCAUAAAGCGUGGGUGUGUGAUGGCGACCGGGAUUGCCCUGAUGGAGGAGAUGAAGACCCUCAGCUCUGCCGAGGCAACGUCACCUGCAGACUAGACCAGUUCCAGUGCAAAGACCACAGCUGUAUCCCCGGGGCCUUGUAUUGCAACGGAGAUAAAGACUGUCCCGAUGGCAGCGACGAGUUAAAUUGCACUGUAUUGAAGACUGUAUGCGAUAAGAAGACAGAAUUUGACUGUGGAGGUGGUAUGUGCAUCCCUCUGUCGAAGGUCUGCGACAAGCAUCCUGACUGCCCGAACUUUGAGGACGAGCCUCGAGACAGAUGUGGGGAGAACGAAUGUGCGAAGAACAACGGAGGAUGCACACAACGAUGUGUUGACACCCCAGUCGGAUAUUACUGUGAUUGUGAUAAAGGAUACAAGCUUGUGGACAACAGGACUUGCGAAGAUGUGGACGAGUGUUCAGAUCCUGGCGCGUGUUCCCAAAUGUGCAUCAACGAGAAAGGGACCUUCAAAUGUGAAUGCCAUGCUGGAUAUGCCCGAGACCCUCGAGAUCGCACCAGGUGUAAGGCUACGGAAGGUCAUCCAUCACUGCUUUUCGCCAGACGAUUUGAUAUCCGCAAAAUAAGCCUUGAUCACCAUGAAAUGGUAGCUAUAGUCAACGAUACGAAAUCAGCUACAGCGUUAGACUACGUGUUCAGAACUGGAAUGAUCUUUUGGAGCGAUGUUACGGAUGAGAAGAUUUACAAGGCGCCAAUCGACGAAGGUACACAAAGGACAGUGGUGAUUGGAGACCAGCUGAUCACUUCAGACGGGCUCGCUGUCGACUGGAUCUACAACCAUCUGUACUGGACGGACACUGGAAAGAAUCACAUUGAAUUAUCUGACCUCCAAGGCAAUAUGAGGAAGAUCCUCAUCAGGGACCAGCUGGAAGAACCUAGAGCAAUUGCUUUGAACCCUCUUGAUGGGUGGAUGUACUGGACAGACUGGGGUCAGGUACCUAAGAUCGAGCGUGCUGGUAUGGACGGCUCCCACAGGCAGACCAUCGUGUCGUAUGACGUCAAAUGGCCCAAUGGUCUCACACUGGAUCUUGUCCGCAAACGUGUUUACUGGGUGGACGCCAAGAUGAACAUGAUUUCUUCGUGCAACUACGACGGUACAGGUCGCAGGGUGAUCCUAUACUCCACAGAUGUGUUACGUCAUCCAUUCUCGAUCACCACCUUCGAGGAUUGGGUCUACUGGACUGAUUGGGACAAGGCUGCCGUCUACCGCGCCAACAAAUUCAACGGAAAAGACAUUGAAGCUAUCACUCCUACUCAUAACCUUCAAAACCCCAUGGUGAUCCACGUGUACCACCCAUACCGUCAGCCCGAUGGUGUGAACCAUUGCGCUGCUGUCAAUGGUCACUGCUCCCAUCUUUGUCUCCCUGCACCUCGCAUCGCUGCGCACGCGCCACGCGUCUCCUGCGCAUGCCCCAACGGACUAAGACUGCUGCCCGACAACCAGAUGUGCGUCGAAGACAGUGUCCCUGAAACACCGAAGACUGGAACAGGAAUCUCAAGCAGCGGCCGCGAUGCCGGCAUGGUGGCAGGCGUCGUAGUAGCUGUUAUCUCUGGAAUUAUCAUAUUGGGAGCACUGAUCGCAGUGGUUAUGUACAGACAUUUCGUACACCGUAAUGUUACAUCUAUGAACUUCGACAACCCGGUGUACCGCAAGACUACGGAGGACCAAUUCGCGCUGGAGAAGAAUGGAUACGCACCGGGCAGCAAGCUGUACCCCAGUACCGUGGGCGAAGAGGUGAGAGCACUCACAGCUAUGGAGUGUACGCUUAACAUACAAAACAGUCUAAGAUAAGUCGCACAAGGACGCAUUGCCCUCCGCCAAGCCAAUUAACGAGUUCGUGUCUCAUAGCACAACUCACUACUUCUUCUCAUACAUUUUUAUUGUAAACUAAGAACAUUGUUUUAAAACAUCAUUCCCGACUUCUUGUGUACAAUGAAUUAUAUUAUACCCCGUGUAACUUGGCCAAAAUGAUAAAAGUGUUGUAAAUAUCAAUGAAAACUAGCAUUAUUUUACUAUAGUAAAGAUUAUUAUAAGGUCUGCCUAAGACAUUUUAAACUUGAUGUAUUUAGAGUUAUUAUAUUUACUAGAGAUUGUUUUAAGGAUUUAUAGGAAAUAUUUUCGUUUAGAUUUAAAGAUUGUGGCAAUUUAUAAUGUGCCAACAUUUUUACCGCGUCAGUAUUAAUUAAUAGUCGCCAAAUUAUUGGCUCUAAGUGGUAGGUGUAAAAUGCUGUAAAUAGUCCCUUUUAAAUAGCAAAUAUGAUUUUUGUAAUCUGCCUAAUGCUUAACAUAGACUUUACUAAUAAUAAUGUUAAUUUUACUGCCGAAAUAUUUAUUUUUCAUGCGUAAACAUGCGAGGGCAUUAUAAUGGCCCAAGAACCUCUCAACAAACCGGGUACAAAUGACUUUGUAUAGUGUACAAGCUGGAAGUAAAUACAGUAUAUUAUCAUUGAAUGUGAAAAGAAAGAGAAGGACAUGUGAUACUUAAAAUAGUGUUAUCCAGUGAAUGGGACUUAAGCUAACAUUUUUGUAGUAAACUCUAAAAAUAGUUAGCGUUAGUGCAGUGAAGUGAAGCUUAUUGGAACAAAGUUCUGUUUGCUGUCAUGCCUCGCGCCGAGAUGGAUCUCAAAAUUACGAUUAUUUCAUCGGCUGUCAUAUCACAACACUCAGUUAUUCAUACACAGAUGCAGAGAACGGCGGGUGUGGAAGGGAGCGAGGCAUUUUUAUUACUUUAAUUAUAAAAAUGUGAAGCUAUUAUGGUUGCAAAUCUAAAUUUGUUAGACGAUUUGCAUCUUUGAUGAUAUUAUUAUUGUAGCGUUAAUCGAAUGUCUGUUGACGUUCGAGGUGAGCUGGUGAGCAAUGCUUUCUGCCCUUUUCUAUAUCUGUGUCCUGUAUGAGAAAGAGAUCUUGGUAUUGCUUUUUGUACUAUUUGUAUCACAUUAUUAGAUGUUAGAAGGGACAUGUUUGCUCUAAUUUUCUCUAAACACUGUGAAUAGUAUAAACAUUCUAAAUAUUGCUUUAUCAAAUGCCAGGUGCAUUGUAAUUAUUUAUAUAGAGUAUACAAUUUUUUAUUCCACUUUAGUUGAUAAUUUUAAUAUUAUACACGUUUACAGCAAUCCUAAAACUCUAGACUUCCGCAUUCAGAGAGAAUGAAAAGCUCAUGUUUCAUAAUGAAAUGUACUUAGUUAGUAAUUUCUCAUGAUUUCCUAAAUAUUUUAAAUAAUUGAACUGAUUCUGCAUAUUUGAAUAUGAUCGUCUGAGUACUUUACUCGGACAUGUUUUUCUGAUAAAUAUUAUGAUUUAUUUAUUUGUACAACACACUAGGAAAUGUAGGCUAAUAUCAACAGUAUAAUGUGCCAAUCUUAGUAAAAUUUACAAUUGUGUCGCCAAAUUAUAUUGUACAAUACUUGGUAGUAGAUGAAUUCUCAUACACUAUAUUUGUUGCGUCGAUAAUUUAUUUGUACUAUAUGAAAUUGUUAUUAGCAUAGUACAGUUUUAAUAUGAAUUUUAUAUUUUAUGUACCAGUUGAGUUUUACCAUCGAAUAUUUUUAUGUAUUUAUAUAUUUAAUAGCAAUGAACGCAUAGUAUUUGGAAUGUGACUUUGUCAAGCAAAAUCCUGCCAAAUCCUUUAAAUAUAAAUGAUUACUCUAUUUGUAAUGUAAUUGAAUUACAUUAAAUACCUACUUGAUGCACAUUUCAUACAAUAUGCCUAGCUCAAUAAGUGUGGUCACUAAAAUAAAUUAUUGUGUAAAUAUUGUCAGUAAAAUAUAUGUAAAAGGUGUUAAUA